rnacentral:rRNA from 1 species
AUUGAACGCUGGCGGCAGGCCUAACACAUGCAAGUCGAGCGAGAGGCGGACGGGUGAGUAAUGUAUGGGGACUGCCCGAUAGAGGGGGAUAACUACUGGAAACGGUGGCUAAUACCGCAUCCUCUAGUAUAACCCAUCUGUGAUUAGCUCGUAGGUGGGGUAACGGCUCACCUAGGAGACGAUCUCUAGCUGGUCGGCAAGGAUGAUCAGCCACACGGUGACGGAGACACGGCCCAGACUCCUACGGAGGCAGCAGUGGGGAAUAUUGCACAAGGGGCGCAAGCCUGAUGCAGCCAUGCCGCGUGUAUGAAGAAGUCCUUAGGGUUGUAAAGUACUUUCAGCGGGGAGGCGUUACCCGCAGAAGAAGCACCGGCUAACUACGUGCCAGCAGCCGCGGUAAUUC